AUAUGAAUGUGGAGGAAGAAGAUGGCGAACCGCUCAGCCCUAUGGCUCGUGUGUUCCAAUCGCCGGGCAACGACUGUUGCAUCCUCACCAUGAUCGGUUGCAAAACUAAGAUCAAUGCUGAUGUUUUACAACAUGCCUUGAAGCUCAAUGUUUCUAAGCAUCCUCGUUUCUCUAGCAGAUUGUCUACUGAUGGUGCAUGUUGGAUUAAGACUCAAGUCAAUGUUAAAAAUCAUGUAUUUGAACCUGAUAUAGAGCCAGAGGAGAUCGGCGACGAUGGAGAAGGUUAUGUUGAAGACUAUGUUUUACGUCCAACAAUGCUUCCUCUCGAUAAAUCAAGACCUUUAUGGGAGAUGCACAUCCUCAACGUCAAAACGCUUGAUGCCGAAGCCGUCUGUGUAAUAAGAUCUCACCAUUCAUUGGGAGAUGGAACAUCCCUCAUGUCUCUGCUAGUUGCGUGUACUCAGAAUACAUCACACCGAGAUACAAUUCCUACUAUUCCUGUUCUUAAACGGACGGUGCAUAAAGAUAUAGACGUCCCAUGGUUCUUAAGGUUGGUACUACUGAUUUUUUCGUCAGUGAGAUUGAUUUGCAAUACUCUCGUGGAUCUUUUGCUUCUCUUGGCUACAGCUUUCAGCUUUGUUCUUGAUGGAUAUAAAGGCGCCUCUAAAAGGUGAUGUGGGCGUCGAAAAUAAUCAGAAGAUGUUUUGUCAAAGAAUUGUAUCGUUAGAUGACAUAAAACUUAUAAAGAAAGUUAUGAACAUGACUAUCAAUGAUGUUCUACUUAGAGUUACACAAGCCGCUCUCUCGCGUUAUCUAAGCGAUUUUCCUGGAAAAAUACGACUUACCGCAGGUGUUUUUGUAAACCUAAGGUCAAAUUUUGGAAUCCAGGUUAGAAACCUACACUGCUACACAACUAGAUUUAAUACAUGACUUAAUUAGUUUUGGGUUGUACAUUUUCUAAGUUAUGCGGAAAAGAUGGUAAUCUCGCUAGGAGUUGAUCCUACAGUCAUUCCAAAUCCUCACAAGCUUUGUGAUGAAAUGGAGGACUCUCUCCAAGCUACGAAAGCCACUAUUUCCGAAAGAGGGUUACUCUAAUUCGUGUUACCAGCAUCUAGUAUAGUAGUAUGCACAAACAUGCAGAAAUUAUAUGAAAUUUUUAUGGAAAAAAAAGAGAAGAAUAUUUGGUGGAAGCUACUAUUUUUUAUUUAUUUUACUUUUACCUUUUUAGUGUCAAAUAUUGCAACAUAUGCAUGUUGGUAUGGUGGUCUUGGCUUUAGUUGUAUUGAUUCUACCAUAUGCAUACAUUUGUGUUGACAACUUUUCUCUAAUUUAUCUUUUUGUGUUCAUAUAUAUUUUCUUUGUUUUUGGGUGCUUCAGUGCUCUGUUUGUCAUAUACGUUAAACUUCACAUCAGUUUUAUAACAUGAGCAUGUUCGGAUAUCUUGUUUAAGAUUCUCGUUGGUUUGUGUUGAUUUACUUAUCAGCCUAAUGUAAUUUACUAAUUGUAGAGAAUCUAUGUUCCGCUUGAUAAUCAAAGUGAGACAAAGUAAUGAAAUUUAGUUAACGAAUUAUUGUAGAUUUAUGAUUAGAAAGCACAAUAAUUAAUACAAAUCAGGUUUUACAUUAUCAUGUACAUAGAUUC